CGUAGCUCGAGCGCUCCGGUGUCGAGGACGUGGCCCCUCCUCCUAGACACUAGCCGUCCCACGAAGAACCUCAAGAGCAUUUCAGGUCUGCCAGUGCACCGCAUGUUUCGCCGCCUGUUCCGGUCGAAAAAAGUGAGCGAGGCCCGGCCGAACUCGUGGCUCGACUGCGACGAGCGAGAGUGUCCCGUCCAGCGCCUGGUGUGCCGGGAUGGCGGCAGCCCGGACGUCCCAAAUGAACUGGCCCAUGGCGAGUCACUCGUCGGGCGGGGACACCGGUGCUCAGCGGCUCGCGUGGACGAUUACGAGGGCGUCUCUUGGAUGGGGCGACUGGAGUG
rnacentral:lncRNA from 1 species